AAGCCUACUCUAGCCCAAUCAAACCCAAUACAAAACAAACUUAAAACCCGACAGCACUUACUAAAACAAAACAUUUUCUUAUGGCUUAGUAUAGGUGAUAGAAAAGUCACUAUGGCGCAAUAGAACUCCGUACCGUAAGGGAAAGAUGAAAUAAUAAUGCAAACCCAAGCAGUAAACAGCAAAGACCAACCCUUGUACCUUUCGCAUCAUGAUUUAGCAAGAACAAACCAGGCACAAGGAAACUUAAGCUUGCCACCCCGAAACCCAAGCGAGCUACUUGCGAGCAGCUAUACAUGAGCAAACCCGUCUCUGUAGCAAAAGAGUGGGACGACUCGCUAGUAGAAGUGAAAAGCCAACCGAGCUGGGUGAUAGCUGGUUGCCUGUGAAACGAAUCUUAGUUCCCUCUUAAUUACCCUCCACGGACCAACCUUAAACCCGCACGAAGUGAUAAAGAGUAAUUCAAAGGGGGUACAGCCCCUUUAAAAAAGGAUAC
rnacentral:rRNA from 1 species